GCGAAAAAAAAGACCGGACACAACUCCAGUGACCGGUCCAGGGAAAUGGCUCAGAGAGCCGUGCGCUAAAAAUGAUGAGCGAUAACCGAUGGCAGUUGCAUAGGUUAGUAUCAGUAAUACUAGUUCAGAUCCUGAUAAUUUCCAGCGC
rnacentral:sRNA from 1 species